rnacentral:lncRNA from 1 species
UGGAAGUAUAUUGGAGGAUGCCAUGGUCGAAUUUGGGAUUAAUCGGAGGUAGUUUCGCGCAUGAAAUGACGAGAUAACCGUGUAUUAGGGGCUUAAAAUAAGGUUUAGGACUAAACUGCGAGAACCACGGACCUAUUCGCGAAUAUUUCUGGAAGGUGGAAGGGAUAUUCGUGAGAGAACUCUGAGAGGUGGGAGGGCUGGUUUAUGAAUAGGGAAAAGGAGGGGGUUAGAUUGAAAUUGGGGGGAAUUUUUCCCCUUCUUCUUCCGGCGCAUGAGCACAGGGAGGUGGGGGGCAAAUCCGGUGGCGGGCCAGCCGGCCAAGCUCGCCUGCGGCAAGGCCGGGCGGCGGGGAAGGCGGAGGAAGAUGUGGGGGACCCAUUUUGGCCCUCACCUUAGGCGGAUGGUGACGGGAGAGGGGGCGCCGGUGGUGGACAGGGAGGCGGUGGUGGUCGGCCUUGCGGCGACACGCAGGGGCGGUGAAGCAGGGGGUGGCGAGCUGGGAGGUGAGGGUGAGGUGGUGGGGAGGGACGGCCGGGCCUUGGCCCUUUUAUAGCCGGUGGGAGGGGGCGGGUGACGGCCGGAGGCGUUAAUGGCGACCGCGAUUCCCGGUCGAUGGCAUGGUGGACUGGAGCUCCACGUGGACAGCGUGGCGGGGCCGGGCUCGGGCGGCGAGGAGCAC